UACGAGGGGGGCAAGCGUUGUUCGGAAUUAUUGGGCGUAAAGGGCGCGUAGGCGGGCCGCCGCGUCCGGGGUGAAAUCCUCCCGCUCAACGGGAGAACGGCCUCGGAUACGGGCGGCCUGGAGGGGGGUAGGGGCGUGCGGAACUGUGGGUGGAGCGGUGAAAUGCGUUGAUAUCCACAGGAACUCCGGUGGCGAAGGCGGCACGCUGGACCCCACCUGACGCUGAGGCGCGAAAGCCAGGGGAGCGAACGGG
rnacentral:rRNA from 1 species